rnacentral:lncRNA from 1 species
GAUGUCAUUGAUGAAGAACCUCAACUUUUCUUAUUGCAUUUGUAAGAUUUUUGCUGGCUCCCAUAUACAUUUAUUAAUAUCAUAUCCACACUAAUGAAUAAAAUAUUUUAAUAUAUUUUGGCAUUACCUUGAAUCUAUGACUUCUUCCAUCUUGAACUCCUGAUUAUUAUUCAUUUCUAUAGAUAAAAGUCGCAUUUGUCUUCUUCUUUAGAUAUUCAUUAUUUAAUAUGACUCAAGAAAAGACACAUGGAAUAUAAGAUAGAUAUUUAUAGACUUUAAUAGAUUUAAUC